rnacentral:tRNA from 1 species
CCUUGGUAACCUCAGUUAGUAGAGCGCUCCACUGGAAAUGGAGAGGUCCCAGGUUCGAUACCCGGACCAGGCG